rnacentral:tRNA from 1 species
GGGGCGCUGGCGCAACUGGUAGCGCGUCAGAUUCCAGUUAAUUUCGAGGUUCCCUUGAAAAUAUGCUUGAUUCCUGAAGGUUAUCCGUUCGAGUCGGGUGUGCCUCA